UCAAGUUAUUAAGGGUGCAGGGCGGAUGCCUUGGCACUAGGAGCCGAUGAAGGACGUGAUAAGCUGCGAUAAGCUUCGGGGAGUUGCACGUAAACUUUGAUCCGAAGAUUUCCGAAUGAGGAAACUCACUUAGAGUAAUGUCUAAGUAUCAUUAAGUGAAUACAUAGCUUAAUGAGGGGAACUCAGGGAACUGAAACAUCUAAGUACCUGAAGGAAGAGAAAGAAAUUCGAUUCCGUAAGUAGCGGCGAGCGAACGCGGAUUAGCCCAAACCAAUAAAGUUUUCUUUAUUGGGGUUGCGGACAUAUCAUAACGAAGAGGUAUCGUAAUUGAAGAGGUUUGGAAAGACCCACCACAGAAGGUAAUAGUCCUGUAUGUUAAACGAGAAGACUUNAGAUAUGAUCCAGAGUACCACGGGACACGUGAAACCCUGUGGGAAGCAGGAGGGACCACCCUCCAAGGCUAAAUACUACCUAGUGACCGAUAGCGUAUAGUACCGUGAGGGAAAGGUGAAAAGAACCCCGGGAGGGGAGUGAAAUAGAACCUGAAACCCUGCACUUACAAGCUGUGGAAGCACAUUUCUUGUGUGACCGCGUACUUUUUGUAGAACGGGCCAACGAGUUACGUUAAGUAGCAAGGUUAAGCACUUAAGGUGUGGAGCCGUAGCGAAAGCGAGUUUUAACUGAGCGUUCAGUUACUUGACGUAGACCCGAAACCGGGCGACCUACCCAUGAGCAGGAUGAAGCGAAAGUAAAAUUUCGUGGAGGUCCGAACCCACGAGCGUUGAAAAGCUCGGGGAUGACUUGUGGGUAGCGGUGAAAUUCCAAUCGAGCCCGGAGAUAGCUGGUUCUCCCCGAAAUAGCUUUAGGGCUAGCCUCAAGGUGAGAGAUACGGAGGUAGAGCACUGAAUGUCCUAGGGGGUAUUGCACCUACCGAAGACUAUCAAACUCCGAAUGCCGUCAUCUUAUACUUGGGAGUCAGACUGUGGGUGAUAAGAUUCAUAGUCGAAAGGGCAACAGCCCAGAUCGUCAGCUAAGGUCCCUAAAUGUAAGUUAAGUGGUAAAGGAUGUGGGAUUGCACAGACAACCAGGAUGUUGGCUUAGAAGCAGCCACUCAUUCAAAGAGUGCGUAAUAGCUCACUGGUCGAGUGAUCCUGCGCCGAAGAUUUCCGGGGCUAAAACUUACUACCGAAGCUACGGCAUCAGUAAUGAUGGGUAGGGGAGCUUCCCAUACGGGUUGAAGCAUGACCGUAAGGACAUGUGGACAGUAUGGGAGUGAGAAUGUUGGCAUGAGUAGCGAGAUGUGGGUGAGAAUCCCACAGGCCGUAAACCCAAGGUUUCCAGGGGAAGGUUCGUCCGCCCUGGGUUAGUCGGGACCUAAGCUGAGGCCGAAAGGCGUAGGUGAUGGACAACAGGUUGAUAUUCCUGUACUACCGAUAACCGUUUGAGAGAAGGGAUGACACAGUAGGAUAAGCUAAGCACACUGUUGGUUAUGUGUGCCCAAGCAUUGAGGCAGUCAAAGUAGGCAAAUCCGCUUUGAUAAUGCUGGGAUGUGAUGGGGAGCGAAAUUUAGUAGCGAAGUAGCUGAUUUCACACUGUCAAGAAAAGUCUCUAUCGAGGUUAAAGGUACCCGUACCGCAAACCGACACAGGUGGGUGAGGAGAGUAUCCUAAGGCCAGCGAGAGAACUGUUGUUAAGGAACUCGGCAAAAUGACCCCGUAACUUAGGGAUAAGGGGUGCCACCAUCAGGUGGCCGCAGAGAAUAGGCCCAAGCGACUGUUUACCAAAAACAUAGGUUUCUGCUAAGUCGCAAGACGAUGUAUAGGAGCUGACGCCUGCCCGGUGCUGGAAGGUUAAGGGGAUCUGUUAGAGCAAUCGAAGCAGUGAACUUAAGCCCCAGUAAACGGCGGCCGUAACUAUAACGGUCCUAAGGUAGCGAAAUUCCUUGUCGGGUAAGUUCCGACCCGCACGAAAGGCGUAACGAUUUGGGCACUGUCUCAACAACAGACUCGGUGAAAUUGUAAUUCCGGUGAAGAUGCCGGAUACCUGCGACAGGACGGAAAGACCCCAUGGAGCUUUACUGUAGCUUGACAUUGGGUCUUGGUACUACAUGUACAGGAUAGGUGGGAGGCUUUGAAACCAGGACGCCAGUUUUGGCGGAGCCAUCCUUGGGAUACCACCCUUGUAGUACUGGGACUCUAACCAUAGGCCAUGAAUCUGGUCUUGGGACACUGUCAGGUGGGCAGUUUGACUGGGGCGGUCGCCUCCCAAAAGGUAACGGAGGCGCUCAAAGGUUCUCUCAGUACGGUCGGAAAUCGUACGUAGAGUGUAAAGGCAAAAGAGAGCUUGAUUGCAAGACAUACAGGUCGAGCAAGGAUGAAAAUCGGACUUAGUGAUCCGGUGGUUCUGCGUGGAAGGGCCAUCGCUCAACGGAUAAAAGCUACCCUGGGGAUAACAGGCUUAUCUCCCCCAAGAGUCCACAUCGACGGGGAGGUUUGGCACCUCGAUGUCGGCUCAUCACAUCCUGGGGCUGUAGUAGGUCCCAAGGGUUGGGCUGUUCGCCCAUUAAAGUGGUACGCGAGCUGGGUUCAGAACGUCGUGAGACAGUUCGGUCCCUAUCCGUCGCAGGCGUAGGAAAUUUGAGAAGACCUGUCCUUAGUACGAGAGGACCGGGAUGGACGUACCUCUGGUGUACCAGUUGUCCUGCCAAGGGCAUGGCUGGGUAGCUAUGUACGGAAUGGAUAAGCGCUGAAAGCAUCUAAGCGCGAAGCCAACUUCAAGAUAAGAUUUCCCACCGCAAGGGUAAGACCCCAGAAAGACUAUCUGGUUGAUAGGUCGAAGGUGUAAGUGCAGCAAUGUAUUUAGCUUAUCGAUACUAAUAGGUCGAGGACUUGACCAA
rnacentral:rRNA from 1 species